AGCGAACGCUGGCGGCAGGCCUAAUACAUGCAAGUCGAACGCCCCUUCGGGGGAGUGGCGGACGGGUGUGUAACGCGUGGGAAUAUGCCCUACGGUGCGGAACAACUGCGGGAAAGCUCAGCCAAUACCGCACUAGGCACACGGGGGAAAGAUGAAUCGCCAUAGGAGUAGCCCGCGUUGGACUGGCUAGUUAGUAGUGUAAUGGCUCACCAAGGAUCAGAUCCAUAGCUGGUCUGAGAGGAUGAUCAGCCACACUGGGACUGAGACACGGCCCAGACUCCUACGGGAGGCAGAAGUAGGGAAUCUUGCGCAAAGGGCGAAAGCCUGACGCAGCCAUGCCGCGUGAAUGAUGAAGGUCUUAGGAUUGUAAAAUUCUUUCUCCGGGGACGAUAAUGACGGUACCCGGUGAAGAAGCUCCGGCUAACUUCGUGCCAGCCGCCGCAGUAAUAC
rnacentral:rRNA from 1 species